UACCCAAAAUUGUAGUAUUUAAAAUGAACAAAAAAUUGUGUAACAGUAUGUUGUUUAAGAAAAAUUUUGAUUUAGUCACGGAAACUUCUCAAUCUUCCGGUAUAAUGUCGAGCAUCCGUGGUCUGAGAGAGAAGGAGCGUGAGGUGCUGAAUGAGUGGCUUGUUGAAAAUAAAAUUGUGCUGGAUGCCCGUACACGGCGCGAGUUCUCGGACGUGCUGCCAGUGGCAAAGAUACUGAAGAAUAAGUACGGCCGCCUGGUGCAACUUCAGUACUAUGUUCCCCGCAGCAGCCAAGCGCUGAAGUUGGUCAAUUGGAUUGUAUUCAAUGAAAAGGUUCUCAAGUGCUUAAAUGUCAAUCUGUCGAGGGAAACCAUGGAGGAUCUGGCUAGAGGUAGUGCUUGGGCCCUCGAUUCGCUGCUAUAUUUUGUUGCAACUGGCAAGAAUCCGGGCUUGGGACGCUUCGUAUCCAAACCGCGCUCAUACAGCAUGCCCAGGCGGCAGCUUAUUCGCAGUGACCCGGACUGUGCCUCUCAUCCAUGUCUCUUUAUUAAUAAAAAUUCGUUCAAGAAUGGGUUUUAAGAGAUGAUGACACUAUUUCAAAAAAACCGCCUAAAUACGUAUGGCAGCAAAUAUUUCACCUUCUUAUUUAUACUAGUUGGCCGACGGAACUAAAGACAUGACCGCCGAAGUCGUGUUACUUAUCUCAAAUAGUACACAAAAGUCUAUUGAGUCAUCAAACAAUUGCUUUUCCUAAAUCCAAAGGAAAUUAAAAAUAAUAAAAAAAUAUAGUGUGAUGAAUUUAA